rnacentral:rRNA from 1 species
AAUGAACGCUGGCGGCGUGCCUAAUACAUGCAAGUCGAACGGAAGCACGAAGAGCUUUCUUCCUUUGCUUACGAGUCGCGCACGGGAGUGACAUGUGGGUGACCUUGCUUUAUGGCGGGGGUAACUUCCUGGAACCGGUACUAAUUACCGCAUAUCUUUUCAACCCCAAGGUUGAAGAGUUACGGGCGUUUUUGCUUUCGCUGUUACCUGGUGCCGCUCUCCAUUAGCUAGUUGGUCAGGUAACGGCUUACCAAGGCAACGAUGCAUAGCCGACCUGAGAGGGUGAUCGGCCACACUGGAACUGAGACACGGUCCAGACUCCUACGGGAGGCAGCAGUAGGGAAUCUUGCGCAAUGGGCGAAAGCCUGACGGAGCAAUGCCGCGUGAGUGAAGAAGGCCUUCGGAUCGUAAAACUCUGUUAGUAGGGAAGAACAUAGGUGAGUGUAACUGUGCACACAUUGACGGUACCUAAUGAGAAAGCCCCGGCUAACUCCGUG